AUGUUGCGAGCUUCGCCCCAAUCUCAGGACUGGCUCUACUCAGACCCGCUGCUCUUCGAUGCGAGUUUUGUCAAGUUUAAUGAAAGACCUCCAGUCGCUGCCCACCCCUCCGCCAGUCCCACCCGAACAAGACCGGGGCGGGCGCUCCUCAAGCCGCUGUCCAAGGAGGACCAGCUCAGCUACGUUUUCGACAUUCUCCUUGAGGACCAUGACAGGUCGCAGCUCGGAUGUGAACUGCGAUUCUUCGACAGCGACCAAGUGUGCGGAGAGAGGUCACCGUUCGGCCCGUUCCGGAGGAGGCGGAGGACGGGCUGUGGGGCUGCUUCGGGGCGCGACAAGGUUCUGGAGGAGAAGCUGGCGGUGUCGUGCUGGGGUCGAGUCCCCUGCUCUCGGACAUAGGACACAAGCAUUUUUUGAGGGAGAUAGCUGGCUCCACGCUGGACUGCCAGGCGGUGUGGGCAGCCAUGCCCCGCGGCACUAGACACGACCACAGCGAAAUCAACGUCGGACUAUGGUUCCGGCGGCGGAGAGAUCUCCAACUACUCCUCCAGCGAUUCUGAGGAGGAGAUUGACGUGGUCACGGUGGUCAGGUAUCCCUCUGGCUCCACCCCCCUGCCCUCAUUGGCUGAGCUGCGGAAGGAGGAAGAGCAGCGAGCGCGCCAACGGCAGCACCACGACAUCCACCUGCAGCACAACUACGCUGCGCCGCGCCCCGACUCCCCGCCCCCCUCCCUCCACCAAGCGGCGCCGAGGAGCAGACUCCUCCUCGCGGUAACACCACCCCUCCUCCCGCUCCUCUCCUCCUCCUCCUCCUCCUCUUCGCGGAGGCAAGCAGGAGCAGCUCCUCCCCCCGGAGGAGACAGAGGACGAGGAGGAGAGGCGAAGGACUCACAACGUGAUGGAGCGCCAGCGCCGCAACGAGCUCAAGAACUGCUUCCUGCGUCUCCGCGACAACGUGCCCGAGCUGUCGCACAACGACAAGGCGUCCAAGGUGGUGAUCCUGAAGAAGGCGCGCGACGGCAUCCGCAGCCUGCAGAGCGAGGCCCAGAGGCUUGCAGGGCAGGCGGGACAAGCUGCGGGGCCACCAGGAGAGGCUGAAGGCCCGGCUGGCCGCAGCUCCGCAGCUAGGGGCCCGCCAUGGGACGGUCGGCCCGCCAUGGGACGGUCGGCCCACAGAGGAUGAGUAGGAAGACAUUUUAGUGACCGCCUGAAGGGCAGCACAGACUAACUCUAGGCGCACGCACACACGCAUGCAUCAGGACUCUAUACAUGCACCCUGCGAUGGAUCCCCUCCCCCCUGGCCCUGACUGGUGUGGGAGGUCAAGGAGGAAGGCCUCACCGGGGUUGUCAGGAGGGUCUUUGUUGGAGGUGAACGCACAUUUGAUAAAUAUAUAUUUUCUCUCUAGCUUGGAUAAGGGCACAUGGUGGACAUCCAACUGCUGGUCAACUAUAUAUAAUAAAAAGUGGUAGCAUAGAAAAGGUAACUUAAGUGACCCACUUAUAAAAGGUUGACUUACGUUAGUUUAAAAGUGACUUGCAUUUUAAGCCUUCCUAUAGCAGGAGGAAGUUUCUGUGUUUGCUGUGCGUUCACCCCCUACUCUCAGGAGGGCUCUCAGCUGGAAAAUGGUUUUAACCUUCUACUACUGGUACCAGACCUCAACCCCCCUCCCCAGACAGAACCCCUACGUUCUACUGUGUGUACAGAGUGUCCUACGCAUGGUUCCUAAGGAACUCCAACAGGACUUUGAAAGGGUGAGGGGGAACAAAGCAGCCAUCAACCUGAUUCUCAAAUAUAUUUGUCUAUCAAUAUAUGUGUGUGUGAGGGGGGGGGGGGGGAUUUUCGCAUCUUAUAAUCUCUGCUGGCCAACACCCUGGCAUUUUCAAAAAUAACCUGAGUGGAGCUUCCAUUGUCUUGUAAGUGAAACCAUCUGAAACAUCAACAUGGUUCAUGGGAUAACCCACAGAAUUCUGGUUAUCUGUAGAUAACUCGGUCGUCUUUGGAGUCUGGAAUACGAUUCUAGUCUAUAAAGUAGAUCAUGGUCACUACUGUAAAAUAAUAAUUUGAUGCUGUGUUUUACCAGAAACAUUCCCUGAUAGGACGCUGAGCUUCUGUGUGUUGAGCUUCUCUCACUCUCAAGCAAUGGUUUCAAGGAGUUUUCAGAGAGUUCUUGAAGCUUAAGUAAAACUUGUUGCCUUAGAGUUUAACUAUCCCGCAAAGAACGUUUCGUCUCGGCCCAACUGCUGCGUGUAAUUAUGGAAUCACAAACUUCCUCUCAAUUAGACGUGAAUAAGAAAUUUUUCCUGUCAACCAAUACUGUCAAUGUGGUCUGUGUCUAAAUGCGAAUUGUAAAGAUUUGCAGUUGUGUGACUAGUUAAAAAUCAUCUUUUUUGUAAUUCCAUCGUUCAUGUGAACGGAAGGCCUGCUAGGAGGAGGAGCUCUGCUGUUGCAAAUGUUAGUUAGGUAUACCUGUUCUGCCUUGAAGUUAACGUUUUGACGAAUGGCCGUGUCCAAUAUGUUGUUUUACAUAUAAAUGUGCUCUUUCAUCAUUGCCACUGUCAAGUUAAAAACUUCAACUCUCAGGAAAUAGAUUUUAUUUUAUACUCAAUUGUUUGCCUUGUUUGCUGCACCUUGAUGAUUUACUGGUUGAAAAAGUGAUCAUACUUUUUACAACUUGGGUCAGAUAUUGCUUUUUAACUUUCUUUACGGUGACGCCGGAUUUUCAUAUUUACAAUACUGCUUCCAAACUGCCAAAUAUGAAUUAUUUCUAUGACCAUGGUUACCGUUAAUAGCAUGACAACCUACCUCCACUUCGCGCUGGGCUUUUGGAAUUACAAUAUUGUUCUUUUUAAUGUUUUUCAAAGCUUGAAAUAUCUGUACAGAUUUCUUAAAUGUAAAUAUUUUGUUAUGUAUCAUAAAUUAUUUUAGUUCUUUUCUUUUAAUUUGGUGGAAAACAAGGAGUUUGGGUACAUGGACAGCACUUUGUUUUUCGAUAUAUGGUUAUAGAUGAGAUAAUAAACCAAUGGAACUAA